rnacentral:rRNA from 1 species
GGAAUUGUUCGCAAUGGGCGCAAGCCUGACGACGCAACGCCGCGUGGAGGAUGAAGAUCUUCGGGUCGUAAACUCCUGUUGACCGGGCAGAAUGGACCCCGACUUAAUACUCCGGGGUAUUCACGGUACCGGUUGAGGAAGCCACGGCUAACCCUGUGCCAGCAGCCGCGGGAAUACAGAGGUGGCAAGCGUUGUUCGGAAUUACUGGGCGUAAAGGGCGCGUAGGCGGUCGCCUCAGUCGGACGUGAAAUCCCCAAGCUUAACUUGGGAACUGCGUCCGAUACUGGGUGACUUGAGUUCGGGAGAGGAAUGUGGAAUUCCAGGUGUAGCGGUGAAAUGCGUAGAUAUCUGGAGGAACACCGGUGGCGAAGGCGGCAUUCUGGACCGAAACUGACGCUGAGGCGCGAAAGCCAGGGGAGCAAA